rnacentral:rRNA from 1 species
AGUGGCGGACGGGUGAGUAACGCGUGAACAAUCUGUCCCAGACAGGGGGAUAACACUUGGAAACAGGUGCUAAUACCGCAUAAGACCACGUUUUCGCAUGGGAAUGAGGUAAAACGAGCAAUCGGGUUUGGGGUGAGUUCGCGUCCGAUUAGAUAGUUGGUGAGGUAACGGCUCACCAAGGCGACGAUCAGUAGCCGGUCUGAGAGGUUGAACGGCCACAUUGGGACUGAGAUACGGCCCAGACUCCUACGGCGAGGCAGCAGUGGGGAAUAUUGGGCAAUGGGCGAAAGCCUGACCCAGCAACGCCGCGUGAAGGAAGAAGGUCUUCGGAUUGUAAACUUCUUUUAUGAGGGACGAAGAACGUGACGGUACCUCAUGAAUAAGCCACGGCUAACUACGUGCCAGCAGCCGCGGUAAUACGUAGGUGGCAAGCGUUAUCCGGAUUUACUGGGUGUAAAGGGCGCGUAGGCGGGGAUGCAAGUCAGAUGUGAAAUCUAUGGGCUCAACUCAUAAACUGCAUUUGAAACUGUAUCUCUUGAGUGCUGGAGAGGUAGAUGGAAUUCCUUGUGUAGCGGUGAAAUGCGUAGAUAUAAGGAAGAACACCAGUGGCGAAGGCGAUCUACUGGACAGUAACUGACGCUGAGGCGCGAAAGCGUGGGGAGCGAACAGGAUUAGAUACCCUGGUAGUCCACGCGGUAAACGAUGAAUGCUAGGUGUUGCGGGUAUCGACCCCUGCAGUGCCGGAGUAAACACAAUAAGCAUUCCGCCUGGGGAGUACGGCCGCAAGGUUGAAACUCAAAGGAAUUGACGGGGGCCCGCACAAGCAGUGGAUUAUGUGGUUUAAUUCGAAGCAACGCGAAGAACCUUACCAGGGCUUGACAUCCAACUAACGAAGUAGAGAUACAUUAGGUGCCCUUCGGGGAAAGUUGAGACAGGUGGUGCAUGGUUGUCGUCAGCUCGUGUCGUGAGAUGUUGGGUUAAGUCCCGCAACGAGCGCAACCCCUAUUGUUAGUUGCUACGCAAGAGCACUCUAGCGAGACUGCCGUUGACAAAACGGAGGAAGGUGGGGACGACGUCAAAUCAUCAUGCCCCUUAUGUCCUGGGCUACACACGUAAUACAAUGGCGUCCAACAAAGGGAAGCAAAACCGCGAGGUGGAGCAAAUCCCCAAAAGACGUCUCAGUUCGGAUUGCAGGCUGCAACUCGCCUGCAUGAAGUCGGAAUUGCUAGUAAUCGCAGAUCAGCAUGCCGCGGUGAAUACGUUCCCGGGCCUUG